AAAAUGCGAUAGUUAAUGUGAAUCGCAAACCAUCGUGAAUCAUCGAGUCUUUGAACGCACAUUGCACUAUUUCCAUCACGGGAAUAGUAUGCCUGUUUGAGUAUCAGUAACCUUCUCAUUCACCCUUUCGGGGGCCUGAAUGGAACUGGGUCUUUAUGCCACUGAUACUGGCACAUGACCUUAAAGCGAGCUCCAGUCGCCGGCAACGGCGGUCUCGACCCAACUGACGGAAGCGUGUUAGGCCAGUUAGGCUCACUGCACGUUGUUUGUCUGGUUAGGUCAGGGAAAUGGAGGCUACACUGCGCGGGCUUUGCGGCCUGCAAUUUUAACUAAACUAUGAUCUCAAAUCAGGUAGGAUCACCCGCUGAACUUAA
rnacentral:misc_RNA from 1 species